CACAAUUCAAAAACCGAGAGAAAGUAUUCCGAUGCAUUCAAAGAAAACCAUCAACCAAUACUAAACCUAAACAAAGAUUUGGGACUAUCAAACAAAAUAGAUUUGGAACAACCGGGAGCUAGUUCAAAUACUGUUUCAAAUAAUCACUCACAUUCUGUAGGACCUAGUUCUUCAUUUAGCAAUUUUCGGUACAAUGAACCACGUAGUAAUUUAUAUGCCUCAACACCAACUUUCUCACGUAAUAUUUUCCUAAAGAACAAUCCCAGACACAACGUAAUCCCUGCUGGAGAAGAAUAUUUCAAUUUAUUUAGAGGAAUUUACGAUCCAAUGUUGCCAUUGUGUAAUAUACAUAUGAUGGAGAAUAAAUCUUUUAGAGCAACGGGUAUGAAUGUGGAAUUUGAAGGGAUCGGUUUUGACUUGCGCCUUAUGAGGAAUAUGGAUAGCAGUUCGCAGGAUGAAUUGGAGAGCGAAGCUGAAGAAAAUGUUAAGAAAAUAAUUCACUUAUACCCAGGAGAUAACAGAAAACGCCGGAGAAGACAUUAAGGGAAAACCCUUGAGCAAACGAGCUCCUCUGAGGAAAUGGCUUUGAGGCAUUGGUUCCAUACACAACCAAAUUAAAUUCAACAUUCUAGAAAUGCAAAGACUUCUGUACUAUGUCUUUGUAGAAUUAUGAUAUCUAAUACUUUUUUUACUGAAGGCACCACCUUCACUUUGUUACAUUACUUUAUUUUCGCUAAAACAUUGUUUUCUUACCAACUUGACAGCUUUACUUUGCUAAUGUAAAGUACAAUUUUGGCAUCUCUCUGAAUAGGUUUCAUAAUUUGUUUUAGUUUGCCUUACCUUUCCUCAAAGGUGAGCACAGAAUGCCUGGGCCAAAUAAAUGCAUACAUACACACCUGUGAUGACUUUAUUCUUUAGUCACUUGUUUGUUUGCUGGAUACCACCAAAUGUUUAACACGUACGGCUGCCACAUUAACUACGAACCCGAAGACCUUUUAUAUAAUUACCUCACUCGAUUGGAAGCCUAAUAUAUUCUAAAACGCAUUACGCUCCCACCACGAGAAGAUGAAUAAAUUUUGAUAAAAUUUACUGAGUAAGUUUGAACUCUUAAGAAAUGUCACAGGUUCCUUUUUAUUAUUUGCUAAAUACCAAAUAACUCCAGGUCGAAGUAGCGUGCAAAGGCUAGUAAAAAAACAAACAAGAAAUACGCCAAUAUGAGAAGUUUAUUGUAAUUAUUUACAAUGUUUUUAACUAUUACAUUAACCUAAUCAAUAAAGAUUUAAGGCUUAUAUGAUAACGUGUACUUUGAAUUACCAUAUUUGUGUAAAGAAAAACAUUAACAAAAACUGUUAAGCUGAGUUUAAUUGUUAACACAGCUCUUUUCGUUAUAAUAAAAGUAACACCUCGCUUACUGUUCAUUGUAUUUUAUUUGUGAAGCUAUGUAGAUUAUUGCAAUUUCCAUUUUAUAUGCAACAAUGCACAUUGGUCACGAGUGAUGACAAAGGGACCAGUAAUAAGCAACCAUACAUGUUGGUAAUUUUAUUUUUAGUAAGUUUUUUCUUACUUGAAAAUAACAAUACUGAAAUUUUGGCACGAAAAAUUUUAAAAUGAAAAUUCUUUCGAUGUAGAAAUGACACGGCAACAACCAUCGAACAAUGGUUAUGCUGUAAUGAAAUUGUUUAUUUGUUCUCCCAGUAAAAAAAAUACAUCUUAAAUUAUAGUAAGUGAGGCAUUACAUUUAAGGAAUGUGAAUUUAUUUGAUCAUGCAUCGUCAAACCUUUAGAGACUGUUUAAAUAAAUAUAAAAUCUAAAAAAAGGGUAAAAAUAUAACUAUGCCAUCGUUACAUCGAUACGAUUUAGAAAUAAAAAAAUGCCUUGAACAUAACUUACUCUACAUAAUAUAAUAUCUACGUCAAACGAAAACAAAAUGACC